GAUGAACGCUGGCGGCGUGCCUAAUACAUGCAAGUCGAGCGAACAGACGAGGAGCUUGCUCCUCUGACGUUAGCGGCGGACGGGUGAGUAACACGUGGAUAACCUACCUAUAAGACUGGGAUAACUUCGGGAAACCGGAGCUAAUACCGGAUAAUAUAUUGAACCGCAUGGUUCAAUAGUGAAAGACGGUUUUGCUGUCACUUAUAGAUGGAUCCGCGCCGCAUUAGCUAGUUGGUAAGGUAACGGCUUACCAAGGCAACGAUGCGUAGCCGACCUGAGAGGGUGAUCGGCCACACUGGAACUGAGACACGGUCCAGACUCCUACGGGAGGCAGCAGUAGGGAAUCUUCCGCAAUGGGCGAAAGCCUGACGGAGCAACGCCGCGUGAGUGAUGAAGGUCUUCGGAUCGUAAAACUCUGUUAUUAGGGAAGAACAGAUGUGUAAGUAACUAUGCACGUCUUGACGGUACCUAAUCAGAAAGCCACGGCUAACUACGG
rnacentral:rRNA from 1 species